GCUUGGCUGGCUCGGUCAGUAGAGUAUGUGACUCUUGAUCUUGGGUUCAUGAGUUCAAGCCCCAUGUUGGGCA
rnacentral:tRNA from 1 species